CUUCUUGUUUUCUUAAGGAAGAGGGUGAUGAAAAAUUGUUGAUUAAAGGGUUAAUUUUUCGAUAUUUUACAUUAGAAAGAGGAAAUGACGGUCAGUUUCGAGUGCGGUGACGAAGAGACAAGCAAUGGUGGCGAAUUCAUCUGGGUUGGAGAAAUAAUCAGGCCGAAAAAUUGAAUGCUGGAGCGUCCAAGAAACGACUGAAACUUUUUAACAUCUCGAAUUCAUACAACUGUAUCUGCUCGUAAUGCGAUUUCUCACUCCUCCAAAUUUAAAUACGGAGGUUCCAGAUGCAAUGGAGAUGAUAUUUCAAUCUGCCCUAGCUUUGGGUAGAAAGGGAGUUGUAAGUGUUCUUAUCUUGGUCUAUCCUGGUGUUUUUGUUGAAUCGAAUUCGAACAUAAACAAAGUGACUUUAUUAUAGAAUUUUAGGACAGAAGAAAUCACAUAGUGAUUAGUUUGUACACUUGAAUCAAGUUAAACUUUCUCAGCAUCUCACCCAAAGAAGUAGUGAACGAGAGCACAACUUUCUAGUCCUCUAGCUCUCAUGCUUCAAGUGCCUGAUAGUUGCAGCCACCCGAGUUUCUCUCAAAUCUUCCAGUCGUUCCCUCUUUUAUCUUCUAAAUGUAUUCCUAAACAAUAAUCUCUCAUUCACUGGUGUGUAAUUAUACUCCAGUAAAUGACAGUAGAUGCCUGAUUCAGCGACUUUUUGCCACAGAAAAAUCCAAAUGGAGGAUAUAUACUUGUCUAAUUCUUCUGUUUUUAAACUAAAUAAGGGCAUCAGUCUGACUUGUCUAGUGCACAUACUCGUUUUGAUUCACUCUAUUACUUCUGGUACUGUCAAAAUUUUCAGCAUUGCUC
rnacentral:lncRNA from 1 species